rnacentral:rRNA from 1 species
GAUGAACGUUGGCGGCGUGCCUAACACAUGCAAGUCGAACGCUAGUAGCAAUAUUAGAGUGGCGCACGGGUGAGUAACACGUAGCUUAUCUACCUCCCAGCGCGGGAUAACGGUUCGAAAGAACUGCUAAUACCGCAUAAGCUCACGAGCUAUAGAGGCUGGUGAGAAAAGGCUUAGGUCACUGGGAGCGGGGGCUGCGGCCCAUCAGCUAGUUGGUGAGGAACGGCUUACCAAGGCGACGACGGGUAGGGGACCUGAGA